rnacentral:rRNA from 1 species
UAACACAUGCAAGUCAAACGGGUGGUAACACCAGUGGCGCACGGGUGAGUAAUGCAUGGGUCAUCUGCCUCGUAGAGGGGGAUAACUACGCGAAAGUGUAGCUAAUACCGCAUACGCAGGGAACUGCAAAGGAGGGGAUCGCAAGACCUUCCGCUACGAGAUGAGCUCAUGUCCCAUUAGCUAGUUGGCGGGGUAACAGCCCACCAAGGCUUAGAUGGGUAGCUGGUCUGAGAGGACGAUCAGUCACACUGGAACUGAGACACGGUCCAGACUCCUACGGGAGGCAGCAGUGGGGAAUAUUGCGCAAUGGGCGAAAGCCUGACGCAGCAACGCCGCGUGAGUGAUGAAGGCCUUCGGGUUGUAAAGCUCUUUCGGUUGGGAAGAAGGGUGUGCGUACUAAUAAUGCGUACAUUUGAUGGUACCAAAAGAAGAAGCACCGGCUAACUUCGUGCCAGCAGCCGCGGUAAUACGAAGGGUGCGAGCGUUGUUCGGAAUGACUGGGCGUAAAGGGUUCGUAGGCGGGAACGCAAGUCAAGUGUGAAAUCCCCAGGCUCAACCUGGGACGUGCACUUGAAACUGCGUUUCUUGAGUCGAGGAGAGGGUAAUGGAAUUGCUGGUGUAGGAGUGACAUCCGUAGAGAUCAGCAGGAACACCGGAGGCGAAGGCGAUUACCUGGCCGAAGACUGACGCUGAGGAACGAAAGCGUGGGGAGCAAACAGGAUUAGAUACCCUGGUAGUCCACGCCGUAAACGAUGAUAACUAGAUGUUGCGGGAAUUGACCCCUGCAGUAUCGCAGCUCACGCAUUAAGUUAUCCGCCUGGGGAGUACGGCCGCAAGGCUAAAACUCAAAGGAAUUGACGG